GGCCUUCUGGAGCUUUCCAUGUUAAGAAGAGCUCCUAGUGGCCUGAUCCCCCAAAAUGAAAUUGACUUCUGGGGUUAACAGGGCAAGGAAACCCGAAGCUCAGGAGUUGUAUAAAGUUGUAUGAAGCUUGAGCGCACCUCCCAACUCCCUGGUUGCUUUGCUGCCCUCCAGAACGGCUGUGAGAGCUUACCCGCCUAAGACUAUCAUCAUUAUAUCAUCCGACAUUUUCAGGGACAGACGUAUUCAGAAAACAAAAACAAUCAAAAACCCCAAGAGAGCCAGGCGCAGCAGGCCCUUGUUCCUAUCGGGCAACGUCUGGCUGGAUGUGGGAAGGACCAUCCUCUUUGAAGAGGCCGGUCCAGGCCAGCUCGCCAGGGCCCCCCACGCUCCCUGCUCUGCCUGGAACGUCUCCCGCUGUACGCGUUUCCUUUGCUGUUCUGGCUCAGAGGAGGAGAAUGA